rnacentral:rRNA from 1 species
AUCCGCCGACGUUCCUCCGAUGACUCGGCGGGGAGCUUUCCCCGGGAAACCAAAGCUUUUGGGUUCCGGGGGAAGUAUGGUUGCAAAGCUGAAACUUAAAGGAAUUGACGGAAGGGCACUACCAGGAGUGGAGCCUGCGGUUUAAUUUGACUCAACACGGGAAAGCUCACCAGGCCCGGACAUUGGAAGGAUUGACAGAUCGAUAGCUCUUUCUCGAUUCAUUUGGGUAGUGGUGCAUGGCCGUUCGUAGUUCGUGGGCUGACUCGUCUGGUUAAUUCCAAUAACGAACGAGACUCUAACCUAUUAACUAGACGACACCGGUAUAGAAAGCUACCGGCGAGAUUUAUUCUUCUUAAGGGGACAGGCGGCUCUCAGCCGCACGAGAUUGAGCAAUAACAGGUCAGUGAUGCCCUUAGAUGUUCUGGGCCGCACGCGCGCUACACUGAAGGAAUCAGCGUGUGCUCCCCUGUCCGUAAGGACCGGGUAACCCGUUGAACCUCCUUCGUGCUAGGAAUUGGGGCUUGCAAUUGUUCCCCAUGAACGAGGAAUUCCCAGUAAGCGCGAGUCAUAAGCUCGUGUUGAUUACGUCCCUGCCCUUUGUACACACCGCCCGUCGCUACUACCGAUUGAAUGAUUUAGUGAGGUCUUCGGACCGGCGAUAACCGGCACCGACUUGUUCGGAAUCGAUUUCGCUGGAAAGAUGACCGAACUUGAUCAUUUAGAGGAAGUAAAAGUCG